CCAAGAGUUUUUUAGGCAGUUUGAAAGCUUAAGCUGUUGCAGGGCUAUCCUCUGUCAGCUGCUUCUCAGAAGACCAAGAGCUUAGGCUGUGGCUGUGCCUCAUCCCAUUAGCCUUAGAGCUAAUCUCCGGCCAACACCGGCACCGCCCUCUAGUGUCUAGGGACAGUACACGUCAUGCCGUCAGGGAUCUCUGUAGUAUUGGUCAAACCAUCUCUCUCCACAGCCUUUCCUAUAAAGGUAUGCCUCAAACUUCAAUUAGACUUAACUUUCUACAGAUGCCUGCUUCCAUCCUAAUUGAGCAACUAGACUUUAGCAAUUCUGGAUCUCACUCACUAUGUGAGCAAAAGAUAGCAUAA
rnacentral:lncRNA from 1 species